GGAGGCUAGGCGCAAGGUGGCUCCCCGUGGCCCGGCGCCCCGCGGCUCCCGGGGACGCACCAAGCAGCCAAUGGAUGCGCAGAGGUGUACAGCAGAUGGCGUCCGACUGCGCCGUUCCUUCCUCCUCCUCCUCGUCCUCCUCUUCCUCCUGCUUCAGUGCUGAGCAGCCAGAGUCGCAGCCGGGUUGCCAGACGCUGGAAUGGGUGGUCUCCCGACACACACCACCAUCUUCACUGGGGAAGCUCGGGGCUCGGCGUCUCCCAGAAGCUGCAGCUGCGGCUCGGGCGAGGCUGGAUUAGGCAAGUGAAGAGCUGAAAAGUCUGAAGAAUGUUUCCAAGGAGUGAUCUGUCUGUCACUCACUGGAUUUCGAGGAGCAUGAAGAAGUUCUUUCUAGUGAUAUCUCUCCUGCUGACCCAAGCAGCUCAUUUGGAAGGCAGGAAGGAUAAUCAGUUCAUUUGGAAAACAGGUAAGAAUGUUCUGACUUCAUUUGUACCAUGGUCAUUUAGGACAAUAUUUCUUUCAUAUUUGUGGAGUAGUGGGAAAUGACC